rnacentral:lncRNA from 1 species
ACCAUCUAUUUAUCCCUAAUAGGUUCCAUUCGAACCAAUUCUAAACCUUAAAAACUCAAAACCCUAGAAUCACCAUUAAAGGGUUGGAAGCUUACCUCUAACCUAAGCUCCAAGCUUGAGGGAGAGGGAGAGAAGAUGACUCUCCUCUUCUUCUUAGUCUUCUCCUUCUCUUUCUUCUUCUUUCUUCCCUUCUUCUCCUUCCUCUUCUUCUUCUCCUUUUUCUCUUUCUUUUCUUUUCUUUCCUAGAGAGAGAGAGAAAAGGGGUGAGAGAGAGGG